CAGCAGCCACGGGAAUACGGAGGGCGCGAGCGUUACCCGGAUUUACUGGGCGUAAAGGGCGUGUAGGCGGCCUGGGGCGUCCCAUGUGAAAGGCCACGGCUCAACCGUGGAGGAGCGUGGGAUACGCUCAGGCUAGAGGGUGGGAGAGGGUGGUGGAAUUCCCGGAGUAGCGGUGAAAUGCGCAGAUACCGGGAGGAACGCCGAUGGCGAAGGCAGCCACCUGGUCCACUUCUGACGCUGAGGCGCGAAAGCGUGGGGAGCAAACCGGAUUAGAUACCCCGGUAGUCCCUGUCUCUUAUAC
rnacentral:rRNA from 1 species